UGCAGUCGAGCGGACAGAUGGGAGCUUGCUCCCUGAUGUUAGCGGCGGACGGGUGAGUAACACGUGGGUAACCUGCCUGUAAGACUGGGAUAACUCCGGGAAACCGGGGCUAAUACCGGAUGCUUGAUUGAACCGCAUGGUUCAAUUAUAAAAGGUGGCUUUUAGCUACCACUUACAGAUGGACCCGCGGCGCAUUAGCUAGUUGGUGAGGUAACGGCUCACCAAGGCAACGAUGCGUAGCCGACCUGAGAGGGUGAUCGGCCACACUGGGACUGAGACACGGCCCAGACUCCUACGGGAGGCAGCAGUAGGGAAUCUUCCGCAAUGGACGAAAGUCUGACGGAGCAACGCCGCGUGAGUGAUGAAGGUUUUCGGAUCGUAAAACUCUGUUGUUAGGGAAGAACAAGUACCGUUCGAAUAGGGCGGUACCUUGACGGUACCUAACCAGAAAGCCACGGCUAACUACGUGCCAGCAGCCGCGGUAAUACGUAGGUGGCAAGCGUUGUCCGGAAUUAUUGGGCGUAAAGCGCGCGCAGGCGGUUUCUUAAGUCUGAUGUGAAAGCCCCCGGCUCAACCGGGGAGGGUCAUUGGAAACUGGGGAACUUGAGUGCAGAAGAGGA
rnacentral:rRNA from 1 species